UCACCUUAUUACCUCCACUUCAAAAGUUUUUCUUCUUUGCAUCUUCUUCAGUUCUCAAGUUCACAUAAAAGGAAGAGUGAAAAGUGAAAAUUGAAGAUGAAAUGGCCAGCUGAAGAUUUGGAAGUUCAACCUCAAGUAGAAGGAACUACAUUUGAUGAAACACAAGAAAAAGAAUAUUUGGACACUACUUUGAACAUUGAGUGAUUUUAGGCUAUGGAGGUUCAAGCCAUGUGGUUGAGGAAGAAGAAAAAGAUGUCAAAUCUUUCAAGUCUUACAGCAGCUUUGUUUCGAAAUUCCAACUCCAAGUUGUGACUUUUAACUUUUAAGUAUUUGAUUUCUGGUCUUCCAAUUUCUUUUCAUAUCUUUUUCAUAAUUUUGGAAUAGUGUUUCAAGCUCCUUGGGUGAUGAUGGAAUCUAGAAACUAUACUUCUAUUUAAAGUUCCUCUUCUUU